UACGUAGGGGGCGAGCGUUGUUCGGAUUUACUGGGCGUAAAGAGCGCGUAGGUGGUUCGAUAAGUCGGAGGUGAAAUCCCUCGGCUCAACCGAGGAUCCGCGUCCGAUACUGUCGGACUUGAGUGCAGGAGAGGAGAGCGGAAUUCCCAGUGUAGCGGUGAAAUGCGUAGAUAUUGGGAGGAACACCGGUGGCGAAGGCGGCUCUCUGGACUGCUACUGACACUGAGGCGCGAAAGCUAGGGGAGCAAACGGGAUUAGAUACCCCUGUAGUCC
rnacentral:rRNA from 1 species